CCUUGACACACACAUUGUGCAUUGGUACCAUAUAACAAACGGAGACACAUACCCAGAAAUGGUUUCUCAUCUCUCCCUCUCCAUCCUCCUCCUCAUCUUCUCCAGACUCUCAGGUGCUUAUCGUGUGUCUGUGAAGACAGGAGACUCCAUCACCAUCCCAUGUACCUAUGAUCAUUAUUAUAUCAAACAUUCUAAAUACUUAUGUAAAGGAGAUCAUUUUGAUAGUUGCUCCCAUGGUGUACACGCUAAACCUCCUAAGGGCACAGCUAAGGCCUCAGUCUUUGAUGACAUCAACCAGCUAACCAUGACCGUGACUAUGACUGAUCUGGAGCCAGAGGACUCUGGACGUUACUAUUGUGCUGUGGGGGUCAAUGGUGGACCAGAUGUCAGGGCAGAAUGGUUCCACCUAUCUGUCAUACCAGGUACUCCAGAACUCUAUGUGGACCAACAGGAGGUGACUGGAGUUGAAGGAGGGAGUGUCAUUGUAAAUUGUUACUAUAGUAACACUGGAAAUAGGAAGGGGUGGUGCAGGAUUGGUGGCAGUGGGUCCUGUGUGGGGGUGGAUUCUGGGACAAUAACCGGAACAUCAGUGACUCUACAGCAGACCACUGAUGCCCCCAGAAGAAAUGUCUUAACGGUGACUAUGAGUGGACUGAAGAUGGAGAACACUGGCUGGUACAGGUGUGGAGUGGGAGACCUUAUGAUGCCUGUUCACAUCACUGUCAGACAACAAACUACCACACAAAGUACCUCCACUAUGACCAGUGAGUAGAGAGCAAUCAGAUGCACAGAAUUAAGUAUUAACCUGGUUUAUCCUGUUUUGCCACUGAACAAUCCUCUUUCUCUCCAACUGCUGAGCCUGUUCAGACUGACAACACAGUCCAAGGACCUGAGGGGAGCAAGGAGAAGGACACCAUGAGUUCUAUAGAUCUAGAUGUCCUACUGAUUCCUCUGGGCAUGUUGGUGGUGGUGAUAUCUGGUGUUCUAGUCACAUGGAAGAUGUGGAGAAAGUAUAAGGACAAUAAGGCCUUGGACCAGACAACAAACACCUCAGUGGACCCAUUUCAUGCCGAUGAUGAUGGUGAUGUGACAUACAGCACUGUUGUCCCCAAGAGGAGGAACCAGUUAAAUCUACAGACCAAGGGACAACCAUAUGAUGUGGUCUACAGCUCACUAGUCCUACACCCCACAGAGGGCAGGAACACAGCAGUGACUGACUGAGUGAAGAUCUUGGUCCUAAAGAGCCCUUAUCCUGGAAAGACAGACCAUUCCCCCUCCUGUGUCACAACAUGAGUCAUGACCAUCCAUCUGCCUCCAAUAUGCUACUGCCCACACCUCCUAACCCACCUGUCUCCUUGUGUCCAUAAUCUACUGAAGACAGUCUACUGUGCUCGUAUUGAUUAGCCCUUUUCAAUGCCCUUUUCCCUUGUAACUGAUCAUGAUCAAAUGUGUAUAUUAAAUGUACAAAAUAAAUAGCUGUUGCUGAAUGCAAAAUG